UUCUAAGGGCGGUGAAGUCAGACCGGAAGGACUGGUGGAGCGCUUAGAAGUGAGAAUGCCGGUAUGAGUAGCGAAAGAAGGGUGAGAAUCCCUUCCACCGAAUAUCUAAGGUUUCCUGAGGAAGGCUCGUCCGCUCAGGGUUAGUCGGGACCUAAGCCGAGGCCGAUAGGCGUAGGCGAUGGACAACAGGUAGAGAUUCCUGUACCAGUGCUAAUUGUUUAACCGAUGGGGUGACACAGAAGGAUAGGGAAUCGCACGAAUGGAAAUGUGCGUCCAAGCAGUGAGUGUGAGAAGUAGGCAAAUCCGCUUCUCGCGAAGCAUGAGCUGUGAUGGGGAAGGAAAUUAAGUACGGAAGUUCCUGAUUUCACGCUGUCAAGAAAAGCCUCUAGGAAGAGUAGUACUGCCCGUACCGCAAACCGACACAGGUAGAUGAGGAGAGAAUCCUAAGGUGAGCGAGAGAACUCUCGUUAAGGAACUCGGCAAAAUGACCCCGUAACUUCGGGAGAAGGGGUGCUCUAUUAGGGUGCAAGCCCGAGAGAGCCGCAGUGAAUAGGCCCAGGCGACUGUUUAGCAAAAACACAGGUCUCUGCAAAACCGUAAGGUGACGUAUAGGGGCUGACGCCUGCCCGGUGCUGGAAGGUUAAGAGGAGUGCUUAGCUUCGGCGAAGGUACGAAUUGAAGCCCCAGUAAACGGCGGCCGUAACUAUAACGGUCCUAAGGUAGCGAAAUUCCUUGUCGGGUAAGUUCCGACCCGCACGAAAGGCGCAACGAUCUGGGCACUGUCUCAACGAGAGACUCGGUGAAAUUAUAG
rnacentral:rRNA from 1 species